rnacentral:rRNA from 1 species
UACGUAGGGUGCAAGCGUUAAUCGGAAUUACUGGGCGUAAAGCGUGCGCAGGCGGUUGUGCAAGACAGAUGUGAAAGCCCCGGGCUCAACCUGGGAAUGGCCGUUGAAACUGGCGAACUGGAGUGUGGCAGAGGGGGGUGGAAUUCCGCGUGUAGCAGUGAAAUGCGUAGAGAUGCGGAGGAACACCGAUGGCGAAGGCAGCCCCCUGGGCUGACACUGACGCUCAGGCACGAAAGCGUGGGGAGCAAACAGG